rnacentral:misc_RNA from 1 species
AACGCACGAGACCUGCGGACCUGCGGAGGGAUCAUUACAGAGUUACUACUCCAAACCCAUUGUGAACCUUACCUAUGUUCUGUUGCCUCGGCGGCGCGGUCAGCGCCCCUCUGAAAAGAGGACGAUGCCCUCCCGCCGGCAGCACCAAACUCUUGAAUUUUACAGCGGAUUACAGUUCUGAUUUAAAAACAAAAAAAACAAGUUAAAACUUUCAACAACGGAUCUCUAGAUCGGAAGAGC